rnacentral:rRNA from 1 species
UACGUAGGGGCCUAGCGUUGUCCGGAUUUAUUGGGCGUAAAGAGCUCGUAGGCGGUUUGGUAAGUCGGGUGUGAAAUCUCCACGCUCAACGUGGAGGGGCCACCCGAUACUGCCAUGACUGGAGUCCGGUAGGGGAGUGUGGAAUUCCUGGUGUAGCGGUGAAAUGCGCAGAUAGUCAGGAGGAACACCGGUGGCGAAGGCGGAUCUCUGGGCCAUUACUGACGCUGAGGAGCGAAAGCGUGGGGAGCGAACAGG